rnacentral:lncRNA from 1 species
AGCCAAUGGACAUGUGCAGAGGGCCGCAAUGAGGCAGACGGCAGCGGGUGGCAGCAAUAGGGGUUGGCGGAUGCUCCGAGACCAUGAAGAGCCUGUUCAAUGGUGUAUUCCCUCCAUGUUCCUUUUUUGGGGGUUCCGUUUCCAGAUUGGCGUGAUGCAAUUCUGAGUUGUUGUGCGUGUGUGUGUUGUGUGAUGCAGAUGAGAAGGAUGACAUAGCGAAGGAGGAUUGCGACAUGGUAGUUCCCACAAUCGCGCAGUUGGAGAGCAUGCACGAGUUCGGUAAACUAUGUAUUCUAUUGGUAUAGCUCUGAAAGGUUAGGAUGCUUUGGGUCACAGCCUGAACUAUGUAUCUCUGGAUAUUAUUACACUUUCUGCAUGCUAUUUCCUAUUUUUUAGACAUCAAUUUCUGUGAAUUGUGGUUGAACUAUGAUACUUUAGGUGGCAUGCUCAACUAUGUGUAGUGUCAUUACCGCUUUCUCCCCUGAUUGUAUUGUCCUUGCCAUGUUAUCCCCUAAAUGUUAACUCUUGCCAUGUUAUUCCCUAAAUUAUUACUCAUUUCUUCUUUUGCCAGUGUUCCGCUUAUGCAUCAUGUAUUCAGUACCAAAAAACGAGGUAUGCUUCUUUACAUUAAACAGUCUUUCCUUCUCAGUAUAUAUGGAAGUAUAUGGGAUGGCUUCCAUAGAAUACUUGUUUCUGUACUAUAUACUAGAUGAUAAUUUCCUUGCAUGCGAACAUGCUAAUUAGUAGCUGCACUACAUUCCUGAAGCUUUUUUGAACUAUUGGGAAACAUGAGAGUUGUUACACAGAAGUAAAUGGUUCUUGUUUCCAUUUCAAACAAAACGAAGGCUAAAAGUUGCUACUUCUGUAGUACUGCUAUAGAACAAUUAGUGUUUAGCUAGACUGUCAAUCUUACAGUUUGUUACUAACCGCUGCCUCUGUAGGCUUAUGUCCAAUGCUGGUGGAAAAGCACCUGGGGCUGGGAAGAAAGCAAAGCUGUAGCUAUCACGCACCGUGCAUGCAUGCAAUUAGAAUUUACAAAAACAAUUAGAAAUUGUGAAUUCUAAUCAGAUUCAUUGUAUUACCGGAUCUUUUGCAUAUCAGACUCUCCUUUCUGACAUCCGGUGAAGUUGUGGUGCAGGAGAAGAAUGAAGAUUUUAUAGCUCUAGCUUCCCCCUUCAGAUAGUCAUGCUCUCCUCCUGGUUUAACAUCCAGUUGUAGUGUGAUAGCUUUGGCACACUUUAAUGUAAUUGUUCUGGUUUAAGAUCCAGCUAUAGUGUGAUAGCUUCGACACCCUUUCACACACACACACCCACACCCACACCCAAAUGAAAUGUAUAGAUCUCGCAUAUUUUAUCUGUCUACUUGUUUUAUGAGGAAACAACUCGACUAAUGGUUAAUGAUCAGGUGUUGGGAACAAAAGGUGGAAUGCUCAUUAAUUAUUAACUGUCUUUGCUGUUCUUACCAUAUGGGACUGUGCACAAGUGUAAAUUUACAAGAGAAAUCCAGUGCAUAUGUUAUGUUUCUAAAUUUUCCCUAAAUUGUUUAUGUAGAAUUUCUU